GUUUUUUAAUAAAUUGGGCCGCUUUUUAUGUGACGUCAUUUUCGCGCGACGCCCGCGUCGUCUUCUGUCAUGGCUUCAAGAUUGGAAAUCAACUUCGUCCGGUUAUUGUCCCGCUGUGAGUCAAUAGCUUCGGAAAAACGGGGUGAGACCGAAUGGAGGCUGGAGAAGUAUGUUGGUGCCUUGGAGGAGAUGCUGGUGGCUCUGAGGAAAAGCAUGAGCAAACCCACACCAGAAGUGCUGACAGAAUACACACGAAAGGUGGAUUUUCUGAAAGGCCUUCUAGAAGCAGAGAAGCUGUCGUCACCAACUGAAAAGGCGCUAGCCAAUCAGUUCCUCGCCCCUGGCCGAACACCCACAAUUGCCAACGAGAGGAUGGCUGCUACUAAAACUGUUCACAUACAGUCAAAAGCCCGAUGUACAGGGGAGAUGAGGGAUGAGCUGCUUGGCACGGGUUUUUCAAACAAAGAAACAGAUUUGCGAAACAGAAGAGGUCUUCCUCUUGACGAACGCCAGUCAGCCGCAGAGUUGGACGCCAUCUUGCAGCACCAACACAACCUGCAAGAGAAGAUCGCUGAAGAUAUGCUCAACCUGGCUAGGAACUUAAAAAACAACACACUGGCUGCCCAGAGCAUCAUCAAACAGGAUAAUCAGACCUUGGGCCAGUCGAUGCAUCAGGCCGACCUCAACUUUGAGAAGUUGAAGACUGAGUCGGAACGUUUGGAGCAACAUGCCAAGAAGUCUGUCAACUGGUUGCUGUGGCUCAUGCUCAUCUUGGUUUCCUUUACCUUUAUAAGUAUGAUCCUCUUCAUCAGACUCUUCCCUAGGCUCAGAUGAUGAAGUGUCCCCCACCCUCCAAAGACUUCAAAGUCUCCUGUAGAGCUGUAUGUGUGAUGCAAUGUGGUGGCAUCGCAGGCCAAACAAUCCCUUUAAGUGGACUUUUGAUCUAGCUUUUUAGUAUUGGUUGUUCUAAAACUAAUCCAUCAAAUGAACACUGUCAGGCCUCCCAGCUGAAAUGGAUUGGACCUCUAUUUCCAUCAAUGGCAGCCAGUGAAUUAUGAUUUGGUGGUUGUCACUGAAUGAGUGAAUGAGGAUUAUUACAUCCACCAGGAUGCUGGGAAAACCGGAAUACCCGGAGAAUACCCGCGCAGGCACAGGACGGCCGGAGCCCGGGAUUGAGACGUUGAUCUCAGAACUGUGAGGCGGACGUGCUAAGGCAAGUCAAGGCAAAUUUAUUUAUAUAGCACAUUUCAACACAAGGCAAUUCAAAGUGCUUUACAUCACAUGAAGAUCAUAAAAAUCCCAUUAAAUCAAUAGAACGUAAAAACAAAGACAAUAGAAACAGGAAAUAAAAUUAUACAUAAAAUCGCAUUUAAUCACAAAUAGAAUAAAAAAAAAUACUAAUAAUAAUUGAAAUCAGCAAUGGAGAUAAAGCACAAGAGGAAUAGAAAGCAAAUAGCUUGAAAUAUGUAGGCAGUUAUUGAUAUGCUGUGCUAAAUAAAAGCGUUUUUGGCCCUGAUUUAAAGGAGCUAACAGUUUGAGCAUACUUUAGACCAGAGGUGAGGUGCAUAAUAACUGCUGCCUCACUGUGCUUGGAGCUUGUUCUUGGAACAUGAAGGAGACCGCACUGCCACCGUGCCACUUUUUUCUUAAAGGGGAACUUUGAAAUAAGGGUGGCCAACCAUGUUUUUGAAUAAUAUCAAUGGCUAAACAAUUAUAAGCAUAUUUUCUUUUUUUUUUUUUUUUUUUACGCAACCCUUCCAGAUUCUUUGUUUAACCCAUAGCAACGCCCUUGACAACGAAAAUGCUUUUCUUCGGCAAUCUUCGGAAAUUACGUCACACCUAGACAUGCGAGGGAAGUCCACCAUAGAACAGUAUUGUUUGUUGCAUUGCUUCUCGGUAUGAUGCCACAGCGGUGUGUGGCGAUGUUUUGUUCUCGCUCAAACGAAAAGUUGUAUGAGUGGCCAAAGGAUAGCAGGGCACGUAAAUGGACAUCUUUCGUUCGCACGAAGCGAAUGAAUUUCACGCCAUCAUCGAGUAGUGUUCUCUGCUGCAAACACUUCGAAGAUGCCUGCUUCCUUAACCGGUCUGCUUAUGAUCAAGGAUUUGCCAAAAAAUUCAGUCUAUCCAGCCUGGUGCAGGUCUACAACUUUGUCUCUGGUGUCCUUCGACAGCUCUUUGGUCUUGGCCAUAGUGAAAUUUGGAGUGUGACUGACUGACUGACAUUGUGGACAGGUGUCUUUUAUACUGAUAAUGAGUUAAAACAUGUGCCAUUAUUACAGGUAACGAGUGGAGCCUCGUUAUACAUCGUUAGAAGAAGUUAGACCUCUUUGACAGCCAGAAAUCUUGCUUGUUUGUCGGUGACCAAAUAUUUGUUUUCCACUCUAAUUUGGAAAUAAAUUCUUUAAAAAUCAAACAAUUGGAUUUUCAGUUUUUUUUCCUACAUUCUGUCUCUCAUGGUUGA